GAGUCUCUCCGCCGGUACUCUUGGGAGAUGUAGUCCAGAAUAGCGCAAGCUUACAGGUGGCUGAGAAAGUAAGGAGGAUUGUGCUAGAUACUCAAGGAGUGGAUUCAAAGCGCUCUUUUCCGUUUGAACCAGAGCAAAUAUCAAGGGACAAAUAUUACAUGGUUAAAACUUGCAGAGGUUGCUAAGGAUUUCUUUGCAAUUAUUUUGAGAAUUUGAAUUGGACGUGACGUGAGCACUGAAGAGUAUGCAACAGCUACAUUAAAUUUUUAAAUACUUUUCGAAUUUAGUUUUAAAAAACACGUUAAAAAAAAGCUUGGGUAAAGCAAUACCUGUGGUUUACAGAGGCUGUAGUACAAGAAAAUGCUGCUCGUUUUUUUCCUCCAAUAAAACAAAGGAAAGAAAUUGCCCCCAGUGAAGAUUAGUUCAACUCCUGUGUUCAUUAUUGCUUCCAGAUCUCCUAGCCAUCCGUGUGGGAGGACAUACAACCUAGGAUGUAACUUUCCUAUUGCUGUGAAGAGACAUCAUGACCAAGGCAACUUAUAGAAGAAAGCAUUGAAUUGGAGACUUUCUUUCUUUCUUUCUUUCUUUCUUUCUUUCUUUCUUUCUUUCUUUCUUUCUUUCUUUCUUUCUGAUUUUUCGAGACAGGGUUUCUCUGUGGCUUUGGAGGCUGUCCUAGAACUGGCUCUUGUAGACCAAGCUGGUCUUGAACUCACAGAGAUCUCCCUGCCUCUGCCUCCCAAGUGCUGAGAUCAAAGGCAUGCACCACUGAUGCCCGGCUGAAUUGGAAACUUUCUUACAGUUUCAGAGGAUAUAGAACUCUCAACUGCUUCUCCAGUACCAUGUCUUCUUCCUCUAUGCUGUCAUGCUUCCAGCCAUGGUGACAAUGGACUAAACCUCUGAAUGUUGGCCUGAACAAGGGAGAGCACAUUGACCCCAGAUGCUGUCUGGGAGGCCAGUACAAGACUGAUCCAGACCCCUGAACAUAGAUGCCAAUAAGGAGGCCUCUGCACUCCAUGGAGCCUCUGGUGGUGGAUUAGUAUUUUUCCCUGGUGCAAGAAGGGACUUUGAGAGCCCAUCUCACGUAAAGGGAUACACUCUGGCCCUGGACACAUGGGGAAGGGCCCAGGCCCAGCACAGAAAGAUUUGGUGGACUUUGCAGAGCCCCCGUUGAGGGCCCUACCCUGCCUGGGGAGUGGUGGGUGGAUGGAG
rnacentral:lncRNA from 1 species